UACGUAGGGGGCAAGCGUUGUCCGGAAUUAUUGGGCGUAAAGCGCGCGCAGGCGGUUCAUUAAGUUGGGUGUUUAAUCCCGGGGCUCAACCCCGGUUCGCAUCCGAAACUGGUGGACUUGAGUGUAAGAGAGGAAAGUGGAAUCCACGUGUAGCGGUGAAAUGCGUAGAGAUGUGGAGGAACACCAGUGGCGAAGGCGACUUUCUGGCUUAUAACUGACGCUGAGGCGCGAA
rnacentral:rRNA from 1 species